CGAACGCUGGCGGCAGGCCUAAUACAUGCAAGUCGAACGGCUCUUCGGAGCAGUGGCGGACGGGUGAGUAACGCGUGGGAAUGAGCCCUUUGGUACGGAACAACACAGGGAAACUUGUGCUAAUACCGUAUGUGCCCUUCGGGGGAAAGAUUUAUCGCCAUUGGAGCAGCCCGCGUUGGAUUAGGUAGUUGGUGAGGUAAAGGCUCACCAAGCCUACGAUCCAUAGCUGGCCUGAGAGGAUGACCAGCCACACUGGGACUGAGACACGGCCCAGACUCCUACGGGAGGCAGCAGUAGGGAAUCUUGCGCAAUGGGCGAAAGCCUGACGCAGCCAUGCCGCGUGUAUGAUGAAGGUCUUAGGAUUGUAAAAUACUUUCACCGGGGAAGAUAAUGACGGUACCCGGAGAAGAAGCCCCGGCUAACUUCGUGCCAGCCGCCGCGGUAAUAC
rnacentral:rRNA from 1 species